GAUGUAUUGAAGUAAUCUCUGGUACCUGUGAACGCAACCUCAUCUGGAAAUAGGGUCAUUGUAGACAUAGCUAGUUAAGAUGAGGCCAUAGUGGAGCUGGGCAGGCCUUUAAUCCAAUAUGACAGGUAUCCUUACAAGAAGAGAGAGAUACUGAGGUGGAGACAGGGAGAGGAUGGCCGCUUGACAAUGGAGGCAGAGAAUGGAGUGAAGCCUCUGCAAGCCAAGGAAUGCCAAGGCUGGCAGGCAGACACCAGGAGCCAUGAGAGGCCGUGAAGGAUUCCUCCAUGAGUUUCAGAGGGCACAUGGCAUGGCUUACACCUUGGUUUCAGCCUUCUGGCCUCCAGAAAUGUGAGAGAAAAAAUUCCUGCUGUUUUAAGCUGCCUAGUUUGUGGCACUUUGUUACAGAAGCCACAGGAAACAUACAAACCUCUAAGAAAGGGAUAUGAUUGUCUCCCAUUUCCCAGAUUUAUCUGAUCAUACAACCUCUUCAUUUUCUCCAGCAUAUCUUGAGGGCGUUUGGUCAACCCAGUGUGGCCACCCCUACCUCUUGGAUGGCCUUUCGUCUUCAUUUGAUUCCUACAUACCUCAAGAGCAGUGUGCUGGACAAACGACGACCCCCAAAGAUGUCCACAUCCCAGUCCUGGAAACUGUGACUACGUAGAUUACACGGCAAAGGAGAGAGAAGGUUACAGGUGGAAUUAAGGCUGAUAAUCUGUUGACUUUAAAAUAGGAAGAUAAAUGGUGUGCAAAUAUUUUUUCCCAGUUGACAUGGUAUUCUAAAAGAUGUUGCUAAGAUCAAUGUUAAAGAGAGUACUGCCUAUAUUUUCUUCUAAGAGUUUUAUGGUUUCAGGUCUUACAUUCAAAUCUUUAAUCCAUUUAUCAGACAAAGGAUUGACCUCCAAAAUACAUAAAGAACUCAUACAAGUCAACAAAAAAAAGCCAAACAACCCAAUCAAAAAAUGGGCAGAGGAUAUGAACGGUCAUUUUUCCAAAGAAGAUAUACAGAUGGCUAAUAGACACAUGAAACAAUGUUAAACAUCACUAAUUAUUAGAGAAAUGCAAAUCAAAACUACAAUGAGAUAUCAGAAUGGCUAUAAUUACCAAGACAAAAAACAACAAAUACUGGAGAAGAUGUGGAGAAAAGCGAACCCUCAUACACUGCUGGUGGGAAUGCAAGCUGGUGCAGCCACUAUGUAAAACAGUAUGGAGAUUUCUCAAAAAAUUGACUAGAACUACCAUAUGAUCCAGCUAUCCCACUACUGGGUAUUUAUCCAAAGAACUUAAGAUCAAUGAUCCAGAGACUUUUGCGCCCUAUGUUCAUUGCAGCAUUAUUCACAAUAGCCAAGAUAUGGAAGCAACCCAAGUGCCCAUUGACUGAUGAAUGGAUAAAGAAGAUGCAUAUAUGUACAAUGGAAUACUACUAAGCUGUAAAAAAAAAGACAAAAUCAUCCCAUUUGCAACAACAUGGGUGGACCUUGAGGGUAUGAUGUUAAGCCAAAAAGCCAGACAGACAAAGACACAUACUGCAUGAUUUCACUCAUAUGUGGAAGAUAACAAAUUCAUGGAUGAAGAGAACAGAUUAGUGGUUACCAGAGGGAAAGGAGGUUGGGGGUUGGGACAAAGGGAUAAAGGGGCACAUAUGUAUGGUGAUGGAUAAAAAUUAGACUACUGGGGGUAAGCAUGAUGAAGUGUAUUCAGAAACUGAUGAAAAAUAAUGUGCACCCGAAAUUACACAAUGUUAUAAACCGUCAUGAUCUCAACAAAAUUACUUGGAAAAAAAAUAGAGAGAUUAUCCAAGUGGGCCCAGCGUAAUCCCCAGGGUACGUAAAAGUGGAAAGGGGAUAAGAAGAGAGAGCCAGAGAGACAGCAAUGUGGGAAGGGCUCAGCCUGAAGAUGCUGGCUUUGAAGAGGAAGGAAUGGCCCACAAGCCAAGGAAUGCAAGUGGCUUUUAGAAGCUGGAAAAGGCAAGGAAAUGGAUUGUCCCCUAGCAUCUCCGGAAACAAAUGCAGCCUACUGACACCUUGAUCUUAGUACAGUGAGAUUCCUGUUGGACUUCUGAUGCCCAGCACGGAGCUCGAGAUCAUGUAAAUCGUUUAAUGUGAUUGGAAGUGUAGUGAUGAAAACAUGGUGUAGGCUUCUUCUCAUUCAUCACGGAUUUGCCUUCACAGGCUAAGGUGAGCAGCUGAUAUGGUGGUGCUCAUGAAAAGGAUUUGGGAGCAGCCAAAUGCAAAGCAAAUAUGAAGCCCAUAACAGUAACAAGUCUGCCUUAAGUAUGACAGCUAGCCUUCUGAGGAUGGUUUCAUCUGUGGGACACAUAAACUCACACCCUGAGCUAUACUGAUGUGUUAUUGCGAGCAGCUUGAUUUCCAGCCUCAUCCAGACAAGCGUGAGCCUGGAGCGCAUCCGUUACACCCUCAAUGGGACGGCGAGGCACACACCGGUGACCCACGCUGGGCUUUGAAGGUCCUAAGUUGAGCCCCUACACGGCACCCUCACCUGGUCUGUGCUUCAAGUUACAUAGGAGACGGAAGUGCGAGAAGUACUAGCUAUCAAAGAGACCUAACAAUAAUCCUAGUAAUUGUAUGAGAUGGAAUGAAUGGUUCGGAAAGUGCCUGAUUGAACAACGUAUGAGUAAGCUGGUGAUACAAGGGCUCAACAGAAGAGAGAAGAGGAUUAAAAACAGGCAUGCACAGGAAAAGAGAGAGGUGACAAAAGAAGCCACCUACACAGACUCUUCAGCUGGUCGUGAUGGUAAUCAAGCCUUAUGUGAACCCCAAGCCACUGGGGUUAGCAUCUUUAGAUAAACUCUUAUUGGAAUCCUGCAAAAAUUGACUUCUGUUAUUUAAAGUGGAUAUUUGAGUGCAAAAGAAGCAGAAGCAAAACCAAAGUUUCUAUAUUGGCAUAGAGCAUCCAAACCGUUACUAACGGAGCUUCUGAGGCUUCCUUCAUUCAGAUCAUCCCGCUACGUGGCCUGCUUGGAUUGAGAUGGGCACAUUCAAGAGAAUGACCCAGGGAUUUCACGUGAUAGUAAUGAUCUCAGGAGGAAAAGUUUGGUGUUUUAAUAAAAGAAAAGGUCUCACUAGAGGUGCUAAGCUAAUGAAAAAACGUGCUAAUAAACCCGUAAUGCAGAC
ensembl:lncRNA